rnacentral:rRNA from 1 species
ACGGGAGGCAGCAGUGGGGAAUAUUGCACAAUGGGGGAAACCCUGAUGCAGCGACGCCGCGUGAAGGAAGAAGUAUCUCGGUAUGUAAACUUCUAUCAGCAGGGAAGAAAAUGACGGUACCUGACUAAGAAGCCCCGGCUAACUACGUGCCAGCAGCCGCGGUAAUACGUAGGGGGCAAGCGUUAUCCGGAUUUACUGGGUGUAAAGGGAGCGUAGACGGAUGGACAAGUCUGAUGUGAAAGGCUGGGGCUCAACCCCGGGACUGCAUUGGAAACUGCCCGUCUUGAGUGCCGGAGGGGUAAGCGGAAUUCCUAGUGUAGCGGUGAAAUGCGUAGAUAUUAGGAGGAACACCAGUGGCGAAGGCGGCUUACUGGACGGUAACUGACGUUGAGGCUCGAAAGCGUGGGGAGCAAACAGGAUUAGAUACCCUGGUAGUCCACGCGGUAAACGAUGAAUGCUAGGUGUCGGGGAGCAAAGCUCUUCGGUGCC